ACAUAAUUUGGGUUUAUUUUAAGCAAGCAAUACAGUCAUUUUUAAACAACACCAGCAGUUUGGGCAAACAUUUAUCCCAGCCGCUGGCUUUGUCCAUAUUUAACCCAACUUGGGUUGUUUUUAACCCAGCAUUUUUUUAGAGUGAUAUGCAAUGAUGGCCAGAAGGCGAACACACCACUCUAAAAUGUUGCAAACUCACAGUUCAACUAAAAAUGAAAAUUGUGUCAUUACUUUCUCACUUAUAUUACCUCAAAGAAUAUCCUGUACACUUUUUUGCAACUUAAUGAAAGUGAAUGAGGGCUGAAGCUGUCAAAAUACACAUAAAACACCAUAAAUGUAUCAUAAAAGUGGUCAUACAUGUUUAAAGUCUUAAGAAAUAACCAGAAAAAAGAUGAUCUUAGUUUGCUGAAAAUUUUGAGAUCCAUCCUGAGAGAAUGAAUCAUGUCUGGUUUGUGAACAAAUCAUUCUUUUGAGUCGACUCAUUUCAAUGAACCAUUUGAUGCCGUUUACAAAAGGAACAGAUUCAAUUCUGAUUCAGAUCAACUCAGUGAAUCAAUGAUCCGGCCAAUCCGGGCAUUAACAUAUAAUUUAUAUUGUUAAAUAAAACAGAAAAAUAAGUAAAUUUAAGUAAUCUUGUUGUUAUAUUCAUGUCAUGUGAGUUCAACGGCGCUACCGAAAUGUCCCUUUACAACAAGAUUUUGCAUCAUUGAGUUUUGUAGCCAAUCAUCUGUUGAAGAUAAUGACCAAUCAGAGGUGCUUAAGUUACUGGUAGUGAGAGUCAGCCAAGUUCUGCACAUGCACAAAUCCUCUCAUUAUAACAAACAAAGCGGAGACACAAUGGAAAUAAAAGAUUCAUUGUGCAGUUUUGACAGAUUCAUUGAUUAAAACGGUAGUUUUCACACUCAGUGAGUUUGUGCUGAACUGACUGACAGCUUCAGUGAUUAUCAAGGAUAAUCACGCCCUUUACUCGCUGUGUAAUUUCAUUCGCAAUUUGAAGAAAGGUUUUUGUUUUUCAUUAGUCUAUGUGACUUUUCCUACAUACUUCAGUACAAAAACAUGAUUUUUAAAAUAUUAUAAUAAUGAUGAUUGCUGGUCACUAUUCUGCUGGAUAUAGUGGUAAUUUAAUUACUUUUUCUUUUAAAAUUGUUUUGUUUUUCAUCAAGUGAUAGUUGUCCUACAUCACAAAACCUUUAGUUUUACAAAGGAGGACAAUUUUUGAAGGAUGAACAAAAAAUGUUUUUGGCCACCACAUUAAAAAUAACAUUUAAAUUGGAUAAUAUUCAGACUUUUGAGCUUUGAAGUACUUGAAAGUGGGACUGUCACGUCUAGGGAGUGAGACCGGAUGAAGUCAUGCCUUGGCUUUUGCUGAAUUGACGGCACUGAGCUGAGCUCACCUUGCAAUAUAGCAUUGAGUCAUGAGGACCAUUUUAUGAUUCUUUUAUGGUGCUUUUGCAUCCUUUUUGAAGCUUCAAAUCUCCAGUCUCCAUUCAUUGUCACUGCAUUAAGGUGAGUGAAUGACGACAGAUUUUUUCUUUCUUUCAGUUUUUCAUAUUACUUGCUAUUGAUGUGACAGAGUGACUGGACUGUAUUUAACUUCUGCUGUCCUGAUAUACAUGAAUGUGUGACUUACAGAUGCAGCUCAGCUGGAACUCACUGCAGACUUUCUCAGGGAACUCAGAGAGAGACAGAAAGAUGGAAAGACUUGCAUGACAUCCUGCUCUUAAUCUUAUCCAUAUUCAUGGGUGCAUAUGCAAAGUGUGGAUGUGUCGGAGAAGCGCUGAAGACAGACGGAGGAUUAGCAACCUGUGUUUGAGUUAUACAAGACUCCUUACCAGAUUUAACAGAUGAGGCUGUGCCGACUCUGUCGUCCUUCUGUCUGUGCAAAGUUUUCUCAGGAAAGCAGCAGCCUUUACUUCUACAGGCCAAAUACAGAGGUCAAAUUUGGAGUUUUUUAAGAGCAGUGGUAUUCAAACGGUGGACCGCGAUCUGGUUCCGGACCCCGGAUCGGUUCCAUCCGGACCACAGGACAUUGUGCCAUUUUACCGUUUCUACAGUUUAAAGUGAGUCAAAACAACAGAGCGGUUCACACCUCAAGCGUUCAGGGUCGUUUAUGGUAAUGCUCUUUCAGCACUACAUCCUUUAAUAUUUUAAUCAGGAGCCAAACGCACUUCAUUCAAGCCCUUCUCUUUCCCGCUAAAGACAUAAAGCGCCACAUUAAGAGCUGAAGAUGUUAUUUUAACAACAGUAGCAGAAACACGGCGAGCAGCAAAAUAGAUACUUUUGCUAAAACGCUGCAGAAAACGAGAAUGCAGCAAACACAAUUAUUUUUAUCUGUCAUACAGAUGACUCCGACCGUUUAACUAAACCAGGUUUGUGUCAAGUUAAUGCCUUUUUUCCAUAUAUUUAGCAUUAUUAAUUAGUAUAUUAGGAGCAUUUCAUAAUAAACAAUGUUAUUAACUUUUUGUUUUGUGCUCAUAAUGAGAGUUUUGAUUAUUAGAUUAUGUACGUUGUUUUGUUUUUAGUAAUUUAUUACUUUGAGCAAAACAUAAAAAUGGUCCUUACUUGUCUUAAAGGCACAAUAUGUAAUUUUCACCACUAGAGGUCGCUUAUUCAAAACAAAGGCGUAGCUUGAUGACACCUUGAUUUCUCAGAAUCACGAGAGGAGUUUUCUUCACGUCUACAGCCGAUGGAAAAGAAUCCGACGGGACUCGGGCAGAAAUCAUAUUCAUGGAUGAGCUAAUGUAAUAAAGAUUUAUUAACAUUACUGUAGUAUGAAGCAGGGUGUGGGAGUUGAACGAUGCCACUGGAGCGAUUGCUAAUGAGAGACGUACAGCUUUUAUACACGUACCAGCUUUUAUUAUUCCGCAGACGGUUGCUUCCGCUUCUUCCGGUCAUGCAUAUGUGGGGCAACGCACUUGUUGCAAGCUAGAUAGAUACUAGGCAUGGUAAAACAAGGUACUCACGCUAAAUCAAGAAAAAGAGAUUCUGUGUUGAGCUAUAUAACAACGAUUAGUUUUCUGUUGAUGAAUGUAUCCAAACAGUUGCUCACUUGUCUAAUAAAACACAUAAUACAUUAAAGCGUCUUUAGUGUUUCCAUGGUUUCUACAAAAUAAAAGCGGAAACUGAGAGUAACGUGGGUCUGAUGUCAUUGAUAGGAGACGUACGGACAUGGUCCUUGUCCUGGUUAAAAAUGCUUAUUUCUGUGGAUGUAAACAUUCUUGGGAUAAUGUACACAAGUCAACUAAAUAUAGUGGUUUUCGAUAAUUUAAUCCAAAAAUCUUACAUAUUGUGCCUUUAAGAGGUAAACUCUGCACCCCCAGUAUGUUUUCUCACAGUCCCACGG